GAUGAACGCUAGCGGCAGGCCUAACACAUGCAAGUCGAGGGGCAGCACAUAAAGUGGUUUACUACUUUUGGUGGCGACCGGCGGACGGGUGCGUAACGCGUAUGCAACCUGCCUCCAACAGGGGGAUAACGGAGAGAAAUUUCCACUAAUACCCCAUAAUAUCAGAAUCGGCAUCGGUUUUGGUUGAAAACUCCGGUGGUUGGAGAUGGGCAUGCGUUGUAUUAGAUAGUUGGUGAGGUAACGGCUCACAAAGUCAACGAUACAUAGGGGGACUGAGAGGUUAGCCCACCAGACUGGUACGGAGACCACGACCAGACUCCUACGGGAGGCAGCAGUGAGGAAUAUUGGUCAAUGGGGGCAACCCUGAACCAGCCAUGCCGCGUGCAGGAAGACGGCUCUAUGAGUUGAAAACUGCUUUUACAAGGGGAUAAAUCGGUGUACGUGUACACCGUUGAAGGUACCUUGGGAAUAAGGAUCGGCUAACUCCGUGCCAGCCGCCGCAGUAA
rnacentral:rRNA from 1 species